rnacentral:rRNA from 1 species
UUGGAUUCGUCUGACAUGAAACCGGCGCACGGGUGCGUAACACGUAUGCAACCUACCUUUAACUGGGGUAUAGCUCAGAGAAAUCUGAAUUAAUCCCCAUAAGACUACGACAUGGCAUCAUGGUGUAGUUAAAGCUCCGGCGGUUAAGGAUGGGCAUGCGGUACAUUAGCUAGUUGGUGAGGUAAUGGCUCACCAAGGCUACGAUGUAUAGGGGGUCUGAGAGGAUGAUCCCCCACACUGGUACUGAGACACGGACCAGACUCC